UGUAGGAGCGAGCCUGCUCGCGAAUACGUCGGUACAUUCAGUAUUUGAUGUGACUGAUACGCCGCCUUCGCGAGCAGGCUCGCUCCCACA
rnacentral:antisense_RNA from 1 species